rnacentral:rRNA from 1 species
GGAUUGCCAUGGGCGCAGCCCUGAGCUUACAUCCGCGUGUAUGAAGAACGCUGCGGUAUGUAAAGUACUUUCAGCGGGGAGGAAGGUGUUGAUGGUUAAUAACCUCUAGUCAAUUGACUGUUACCCUGCAGAAGAAGCACCCGGCUAACUCCGUGCCAGCAGCCCGCGGUAAUACGGAGGGUUGCAAGCGUUAAUCGGAAUUACUGGGCCGUAAAGCGCACGCAAGGCGGUCUGUCAAAGUCGGAUGUGAAAUCCCCGGGCUCAACCUGGAACUGCAUUCGAAACUGGCAGGCUAGAGUCUUGUAGAC